AUGUGCGGGAGCCAGGAAGAGUCGUUGUUUCAUUCUCUGGUUACAUGCGAUCAUGCAAAACUAUUUUGGAGGGAGGCAGAAGAUUUCUUUGAGUUCAAGUUACCACGGCUCCACCCAGCCACGUGGUCCAGGGAUUUGCUUGAUUCUAGCCUGAUUGGAAGGGACAUGGCGGCCAUUGUUAUAUCAGUCAUGUGGACAAUUUGGUCAAGCAGAAACAAAUACACUCAUGAGGAGAUCAAAUACCAACCCGGCAGGUCGAUGGUCCUGGUUAAGGAACUCAUUCACGCUUUGUACAUCCCUUCGGGUGAGGACAAAUACUCACCUACCAAACAUGUCUGGCGUUCUUUAGAGGCUGGUCGACGAGACCAGACGAGCUCCAGGGAUUGUUUAGCCUUAUCUGCUCUAGUGCGGCACUGA
rnacentral:rRNA from 1 species